rnacentral:rRNA from 1 species
GAUGAACGCUGGCGGCGUGCCUAAUACAUGCAGGUCGAGCGAACGGACGAGAAGCUUGCUUCUCUGAUGUUAGCGGCGGACGGGUGAGUAACACGUGGAUAACCUACCUAUAAGACUGGGAUAACUUCGGGAAACCGGAGCUAAUACCGGAUAAUAUUUUGAACCGCAUGGUUCAAAAGUGAAAGACGGUCUUGCUGUCACUUAUAGAUGGAUCCGCGCUGCAUUAGCUAGUUGGUAAGGUAACGGCUUACCAAGGCAACGAUGCAUAGACGACCUGAGAGGGUGAUCGGCCACACUGGAACUGAGACACGGUCCAGACUCCUACGGGAGGCAGCAGUAGGGAAUCUUCCGCAAUGGGCGAAAGCCUGACGGAGCAACGCCGCGUGAGUGAUGAAGGUCUUCGGAUCGUAAAACUCUGUUAUUAGGGAAGAACAUAUGUGUAAGUAACUGUGCACAUCUUGACGGUACCUAAUCAGAAAGCCACGGCUAACUACGUG